AGUGAACGCUGGCGGUGGGCCUAACACAUGCAAGUCGAACGGACACACAGUAAGAUCUCGCCCCUAAGGGUAGCGGGUGGCGGGCGGGUAAGACGUGGAUAACCUUCUAAUUUUUCGUGGGGGACAUCGUGAAAACACUUCCGAUACUAGCGAAUAUGACCUACGGGUGAAUGCAGUAGUUCAUGGCAGCUUUCGCGUCUGUUAUAGCUGGUGUCGGGUCGCAUUAGCUAGUUGGUAAGGUAACGGCUUACCAAGGCUACGAUGCGUAGCUGAUCUGAGAGGGUGAUCGGCCACACUGGAACUGAGACACGGUCCAGACUCCUACGGGAGGCAGCAGUGGGGAAUAUUGCGCAAUGGGCGCAAGCCUGACGCAGCCAUACCGCGUGAGUGAAGAAGGCCUUCGGGUUGUAAAACUCUUUUGUUGGGAAAGAAAAACAGUAUAAUUAUACACGGCUGUUUUGACGGUACCUAAAGAGUAAGCACCGGCUAACUUCGUG
rnacentral:rRNA from 1 species